rnacentral:rRNA from 1 species
CCUACGGGGGGCUGCAGUGGGGAAUAUUGGACAAUGGGGGGAACCCUGAUCCAGCCAUGCCGCGUGUGUGAAGAAGGCCCUCGGGUUGUAAAGCACUUUCAGUGAGGAAGAACGCCUGGUGGUUAAUACCCAUCAGGAAAGACAUCACUCACAGAAGAAGCACCGGCUAACUCCGUGCCAGCAGCCGCGGUAAUACGGAGGGUGCGAGCGUUAAUCGGAAUUACUGGGCGUAAAGCGCGCGUAGGUGGCUUGAUAAGCCGGUUGUGAAAGCCCCGGGCUCAACCUGGGAACGGCAUCCGGAACUGUCAAGCUAGAGUGCAGGGGAGGAAGGUAGAAUUCCCGGUGUAGCGGUGAAAUGCGUAGAGAUCGGGAGGAAUACCAGUGGCGAAGGCGGCCUUCUGGACUGACACUGACACUGAGGUGCGAAAGCGUGGGUAGCAAACAGGAUUAGAUACCCUAGUAGUC